GGCGCCCGACGCAGGGCUCAAACCCAGCACCCCGGGAUCACGACCUGAGCCGAAGGCAGACGCCCAAUGACUGGGCCACCCAGGCGCCCCAGAAAAACGGUUACUUUUUAUCAAAAGCAUAUUAUUUACAUGUGAUGCAACUGGCUUGUUAUAAUUUUUAAGUGGAUUUAGAAAGAUUAGUAAACUUCUGUUUUAAUUGAUAAUAUGGUGAUUACAGAAUAAAUAAACAAAAGCUUUUGGGGAAUCCUCGAAAAGAGGUUAAGG